rnacentral:misc_RNA from 1 species
CUGAGUCGUCAACACGAGUUGUUGCUGGUCCUCAAACAGGGGACAUGUGCACGCUCUGUUUACACAUCCACUCACACCUGUGCACCCUCUGUAGUUCUAUGGUCUGGGGGGCUCUGCCUCCCUUCUGUGGUUCUGCAUCUUUACACACACACUGUAACAAAGUUUUAUGGAAUGUACAUCGCGUUUAACGCAAUAUAAUA